rnacentral:lncRNA from 1 species
CCUUGAUGAUACUCACUCAAUUUGUGUCCAUUCGGUUGUUGUAGAAGGCUUACUUAUGAUCAUCCAUAUAUAUAUAUCGUAGCUGUUUAAUUCCUUCAAAGAACAACCUACCAGCUCUUUAAAUAUGUGCUACUUGCUGUGCAUUUUAAUUACAAAAUGAUUUUCGAAAAGUCAAAAGGUAAACAUAUUCAAAAAUCCAAAGUGUAACAUCGAU